AGUGAACGCUGGCGGUAGGCCUAACACAUGCAAGUCGAACGGCAGCACAGUAAGAGCUUGCUCUUACGGGUGGCGAGUGGCGGACGGGUGAGGAAUACAUCGGAAUCUACUUUUUCGUGGGGGAUAACGUAGGGAAACUUACGCUAAUACCGCAUACGACCUACGGGUGAAAGCAGGGGAUCUUCGGACCUUUCCCGAUUCAAUGAGCCGAUGUCGGAUUAGCUAGUUGGCGGGGUAAAGGCCCACCAAGGCGACGAUCCGUAGCUGGUCUGAGAGGAUGAUCAGCCACACUGGAACUGAGACACGGUCCAGACUCCUACGGGAGGCAGCAGUGGGGAAUAUUGGACAAUGGGCGCAAGCCUGAUCCAGCCAUACCGCGUGGGUGAAGAAGGCCUUCGGGUUGUAAAGCCCUUUUGUUGGGAAAGAAAAGCAGCAGGUUAAUACCCCGCUGUUCUGACGGUACCCAAAGAAUAAGCACCGGCUAACUUCGUG
rnacentral:rRNA from 1 species